CACUGAAAAAGGCAAAACCACCGAAAGGUGGCGACGCAAAGCCUCCGGUCUACGGGUCAGAACCUAGGAUAGCGGGGUUUCCAGG
rnacentral:ncRNA from 1 species